rnacentral:rRNA from 1 species
UACGUAGGGCGCAAGCGUUGUCCGGAAUUAUUGGGCGUAAAGAGCUCGUAGGCGGUUUGUCGCGUCUGCUGUGAAAACCUGGGGCUCAACCCCGGGCCUGCAGCCGAUACGGGCAAGCUAGAAUUCGGUAGGGGAGACUGGAAUUCCUGGUGUAGCGGUGAAAUGCGCAGAUAUCAGGAGGAACACCGGUGGCGAAGGCGGGUCUCUGGGCCGAUAUUGACGCUGAGGAGCGAAAGCGUGGGGAGCAAACAGG